rnacentral:rRNA from 1 species
AUUGAACGCUGGCGGCAUGCCUUACACAUGCAAGUCGAACGGCAGCACGGAGAGCUUGCUCUCCGAUGGCGAGUGGCGAACGGGUGAGUAAAGCAUCGGAACGUACCGUGUAGUGGGGGAUAACGUAGCGAAAGUUACGCUAAUACCGCAUACGCACCGAGGUGGAAAGCAGGGGAUCGCAAGACCUUGCGCUAUACGAGCGGCCGAUGUCAGAUUAGCUAGUUGGUAGGGUAAAGGCCUACCAAGGCGACGAUCUGUAGCGGGUCUGAGAGGAUGAUCCGCCACACUGGGACUGAGAAACGGCCCAGACUCCUACGGGAGGCAGCAGUGGGGAAUUUUGGACAAUGGGGGCAACCCUGAUCCAGCCAUGCCGCGUGAGUGAAGAAGGCCUUCGGGUUGUAAAGCUCUUUCGGCCGGGAAGAAAUCGCACAGGCUAAUACUCUGUGUGGAUGACGGUACCGGCAUAAGAAGCACCGGCUAACUACGUGCCAGCAGCCGCCGUAA